UGAUGAUGGUGAGGGAAAUUUUGGAGCAUACCCUUAAAUCUCUCCUAAGCUUUGUAGAGACUCUAUCUUUCUUUCUGUCUGAAACUCAGAAUCUCACUUCUCAAACA
rfam:Capsicum annuum cultivar Zunla-1 chromosome 9, whole genome shotgun sequence